CAGUCCAUUUGUUUUCUCUCUACUAGCCAGUACUUACUUACUUACUUACACACAGACAGACAGACAGACACACACAUACCUCUCUCCCCAUGCACACCCUUUCUUUCCAAAGAUCACCACCGAAAUAAAUGCACAUCCCUGCUUCUGUUUUAUCCCUCCCUUGUCAGAUCCUUCUCCCAGUUCCUCCUGCCUUUGCGUUUCCCAGCCACCCUGGCUUCCCUCCUCUUCCACCAGGUAUGUGAUGGCUGACUUUGCACUGCUCCACAUGCUCUGUCUCCUCUUGCACCAGCCCAAACACCCAUCAUGGCCAUCAUUUGUCCAAUCAGGAUAGAAGGUGAGGCGGAUGCAGGCAUUUGUCUGUAACUAAGCUGAAGUACAUGGAACUCAAGCUAACUGCAUAUCACUUCCACGUUUAUCCCACCUCCAUUUUCCUUUGUUUCUCCACGUCAGAAAAGAGCAGCCAGAAUGAUCAAGGGGGAUGGAGUGAUUCCCUUAUGAAGAAAGGUUGCAGCAUUGGGUCUUUUCAGUUUAGAGAAAAGACACAUAAGAGGUGACAUGAUAGAAGUGUAUAAAAUUAUGCAUGGCAUGGCGACAGUGGAUAGAGAAAUGUUUUUCUCCCUCUCUCAUAACAUUAGGAACUCGUGGACAUCCAAUGAAGCUGCAUGUUGGAAGAUUCAGGACAGACAAAAGAAAGUCCUUCACACCGCACAUAGUUAAGCUACAGAAUUCUCUCUCACGGGAGACAGUGAUGCCCACCAACUUGGGUGGCUCUUAAAGAGGCAUAGACACUUUCAUGGGAGAUAAGGCUAUUAUUGGCUAUUAGCCAUGAUGGCUGUGCCCUGCUUCCAUAUUCAGAGGCAGUAUGCUUCCGAAUACCAAUUGCUGGAGCCCGCAGAAGGGGAGAGUGCUUGGGGGCUUCCCAUUAGGGCAUCUGUGAGGAUGGGAUGCUGGAUUAGAUGGGCCACUGACCUGAUCCAGCAGGCUCUUCUUACAUUCUUCUGUUGAACAUUUGCAAGCUCUUUGGGACCAGGACCUGGCCUCUUAAUACUUUGUAAAUCACCGCACUGACUGAUGGCGCUAUAUCAAUAAAAAUAAUAAUAUAGCCAAGAGAAAUUGCUUCAGUGGCCCAGUUCAAACAGCUGGAUAUCCUUAGUGCUGUGUAACAUACGGAGCAAGCACCAGCAUCCUUUCGCAGUGUUGCAGCCAUUGUUUAUCACUUCUAAAGUACCUAUUUUUUUCCUAAGCGCUGGCUCGCAGAGUCAAAGACACAUCACAGAAACACUGUUGUUGCUUGUUAAAUUUCACAUCCCACAUAGUCCCAUAAUUCUCAAAGUGACUUAUGUCCGUUAAGUCAACAUCAACAAGCCUUCUUGUGGACAUAGUCAAGAAUAAAUAUGCCAGGAAACCCAACAGUUGGAUUAAGAGCAGUAUUGCUCACUUUUUCAUACCUCAUAAUUAUAACUGUUUUAAUAACAUCGAAACAACAUAGAAAGAUCCUUUAAUUCGAGUUCAGACCAUUGGUCCAUGUAGCUCAAUAUGUCUAAACGAUGAUUGGCAGCGACUCUCUAUGGUUUCAGACUGAGGACGUUCCUGGAUCUGCCUGGAAAUGUUGGGGAUUGAGCCUAGGAUCUUCUGCAUGCAAAACAGGUAUUCCACCACUAAGCUACAGCCCUUCUACCGGCCACACAGUCAUUCUUAAAGUAAAGGGAUUUGUGCCUUUGGCUUGCUCGCCUGGCAUCUCCAGCAAUUUAGUUGCUUUAGCAAUACUCCAUGCGUCAGCAGGUUGGACACAACUGCAGAGGCUCAUGAAGAAUAAUCACAUGUAGUGUGAACUGCAGAGAGGAGUGAUGCCCCUGCAGAUCCUAUUUUGUUACUCAUGCAGGGCAUUCCCCCUCCCUCCCCAAUUCAGCCGGGCUACCCCUCUGGGGUACCAAGACAUGCUCUUCCCUUUCCCCUCAGUGCCGUUUGUUCGCCCUCCACCCCUUGCAAUGCUCUUACCAUCAGCAUAGCUCAGGAUGUUUCUGCCAGGAAACAUUUUCCCUCUAAUCUGAAACAGAUUUAUCUCUGCAGUGAAAUAAUCAAGCCAUGUGAUCAGAUUUUCAAUUGCUGAUGCCAGCCUCUCUUCCUUCCCUUCUUCCCUGCUAAAAUAAAGCCAUUACUGUUUAUUCUGCUGUUGGUGGAUGGUUUCUCUGAUCGGAUGGUGGAUAUAUACCCUGUCCUGGAUGGGGUUACACUCCCCCCAAGGGAGCGGGUUCGUAGUCUGGGAGUCCUUUUUGACUCUUCCCUCUCACUUGAGGCUCAAGUAGCCUCGGUGGCAAGGAAUGCGUUUUACCAACUUCGGUUGGUAGCCCAGCUACGCCCCUAUUUGAGUAAAGAGGACCUUACAUCAGUGGUACAUGCUCUAGUAACCUCACGCUUAGACUACUGCAAUGCGCUCUACGUAGGGCUACCUUUGAAGACUGUUCGGAAGCUACAGCUAGUGCAAAAUGCGGCAGCCAGACUGCUAACAAGGACCAAGCGGUCCGAGCACAUAACACCUGUUCUGGCUCGCUUGCACUGGCUGCCAAUAAGCUUCCAGGCUAGAUUCAAAGUGUUGGUAUUAACCUAUAAAGCCUUAUACGGCGCAGGGCCACGAUACCUGUUGGAACGCCUCUCCCAAUAUGAACCGGCCUGUACACUACGUUCCACAACGAAGGCCCUCCUCCGGGGCCCGACUCAUAGGGAGGCCCGGAGGGUGGUGACAAGAUCUAGGGCCUUCUCGGUGAUGGCCCCCGAAUUGUGGAACAGUCUCCCCGUGGAGGUGUGCUUGGCGCCGACGCUGUUUUCUUUUCGGCACCAAGUGAAAACCUUUCUUUUCACCGAAGCAUUUUAAUUUAAUUUAACUUAAAUUUGUACAAAUUGUUGUAAUUGAUUUUUGAUUGUUUUUAUGUCCUGUGGUAUUGUAUUAUGAUUUUACUGUACUUUGUUCACCGCCCAGAGAGCUAUUGCUAGUCAGGCGGUUUAUAAGCUUAAUUAAUAAAUAAUAAAAUAAUAAAUAAACAAUAAUUAUUCAGUAUUCAUAGGGUCAAGUUGGGGAUUCAGCACUUUCAAGCAUCGAUUUGAAAUGUUGGGAUUUUUUUGGGGGGGGUGUCUUUUGUUAAAUGCAAUGAACGUAUGAUUUCCUCAGAGAAUUCAAAUGGAAAUGAGAGAGAGAGCGAGCAAGUGGGACCUGUAAUAAGACAUUGCAACGUGGUCUUUUUCAGGGUGCCAGCCAACCAGCCAUGUCCUCUUGUAAGGUACUCCAUUCCAUUCCCCCUCCUCCCUGGAGUUCAGUAUUGGUAUAUAGGAUCUAAAAAAACGUUCCUUCCGCUUUUCAAAACACGAGAUUUCAGAGGCCAACACUUGUGCCUUAGUCCUGGAGUGACUUUAACCCUUGAGAAAGCUAACCACCUUUGCUUAAUCCGAGGGAGUUGUUUCCUUUUGCUUCAUAUUUGCAUAUGGAUAGGUAACGAUAGUGGCUGGUUCACGCUUUGCAAUAAGCCGUAAACCAUGGUGUUGGAAAGGCCGUAGCUCAGAGGUAGACAAUUUGCUUUGCAUGCAGAAGAUCCCAGGCUCAGUCCCAGGUAGCGCCAGGUAGGAUUCGGAGAGGCCCCUCUCCGAAAUCCUGGAGUCAGUUUAGACAAUCCUGAGUUAGAUAGACUAAUAGUCUGGCUCAGUAUAAGGCUGCUUCUUAUGUCCUCUGCUUGAGUGAACCACCUUCCAUGAUUUGUUGGGAGGAAACAGACCAUGAUCCCAGGUUUGGCAUUUUGUCUGAACCAGGGUUUGUUCUUGGCUUACUGACUGUGGUUUAUAAGAGUAAAACAAGCCACAAUGUCUGGUUUGGACAUGACGUGAUACUAAGCCAGGAAUUGUGGCUUGUUUCUCCCCCGCACUCUCAGGGAUAAGCCAACAGCCCAACUUGGUGUGUUCACAAUAAACCAUCAACUAUGGUUCCCUGUGAUGGAUGAAAUGGAAUGCUGGUGAACAAAACAGGAGGAGGUGCCUGGAGCUGAGAUGAAAGACAGUAUCGCUUGCUUAUUUAAGCCUCACUUUCCAGUCACAGUGUCCAUCUAAGGUAGGGAACCAAAUCCAAGUCGUAGGGAGCCAAGAAAUUUUGGAUAACCCCUAUCUGCAUGUGUAGUUUUAAAGGAGCAAUUUAUUCAUAUGAGGGCACAGAACAUAAAUUUAGGCAAACAUAAAAGAGACAAAAAAUAUUCUCUGUCUGGGGAGAAACAGCAACAGAGGGCAGUUGUCUUCACAUCCUACCUGUGGGCUUUCUGGAGCCAUCGAGUUGGCCAUCUUGGAAGCUGGACUUUGGUAGACCUUCAGUCUGAUCCUGCAGGGCUUUCCUUAUGUUAUUUCUGAUCUUUCCUAGAUAGGGAUAGCCUGGCUAUUGUCAUCCAUGCUCUAGUAACCUCCAAAUUGGAUUGCUGUAUAGCACUCUACAUGGGGCUGCCCUUGAAGAUGGCCUGGAAAUUGCAACUAGUGCAAAAUGUGGUCGCCAAAGUGCUUAUGGGAGUGACAGGCCAAGCAUAUAUAACACCCAUUUUAAAACAACUUCAUUGGUUUCCAGUUGUUUUCCGGAUCCAAUUAUGUUGACAUUGAAAGCCCUAAAUGACAUGGGGUCCAAAUAUCUCAAGAGAAUGCCUUGUCACAUGAUUUGAUUUGAUUUAAUUUAUUACGGUCGGAGACCAGCAUACAAGUAUAAAGACAAAAACAAUUAUUACAAUAAAAACAUGUUCAAGGUAAAAAAAUCUCGAGUCUGCAUAAGCUGUUAAUUAGUACUCUGCGGCGUACAAUGGCUGCAGCACAGAAACUCGCAACCUUAAUUGAAACAUGGGGGAUUUGAUCAGAUAAUAAAUAUUUAAUAUAAAAUGUAGCAUCACAUGCCAGCCUGCCCAUACCUUAAGGUCGGCAAAUGAGGCCCAAUUAGUGGUCUCUGCACAGGAUGAAGUGUAUAGUGCCAGGGCUCAUCAAAGGGCCUUUUCAGUGGUGGCUCCACAUCUAUGAAGUGCUCUCCCCACUGAGGUGCAUCCAACCUCAUCAUUGUUUUCUUUCAGGAAACAGAUGAAGGUGCACUUUAUCCUGCAAGUUUUCGGGUUCUUGUGCCCCCUUCCUCUACAGCAAUCUUCCCCAGCCUGGUGCUGACUCCUCCUCAACUUAUCCACACAGAUUAGCAGGUAUGUGUACAUCCUGUGCAUGUUCGCAUCCUAUAUGUAUACAUGUGCAAAAGUCGGAUGGACACUGUCAAGAACGCCUGAUUUCUAAAAUGGCUCAGAAGCAAGGAACUGUGGGGAUUUCAUCUUGUCUGAAAUGGGACCUCUGUGAAGAGCAAUGACUUGCAGUUUUCACUGCUGAAGCUAGUUAAUUAGGCCCAAGCAAGAACACCAGCUUAUCAGUGGAGCCUGGUAUCCAAGGCUAUAGGCCUGGGAAGGUUUGGGGAGGACAUGACAGUUAGGUGCAAAAGCUCCAGAAGCAUUUCAUCGUCUGAAAGCCCCCUGAUUGGCUAAUUAAUUUCUGGCUGUUGCCAGGCGUUUUCUCAUAACUAUAGGAGUCAAAAUCUUAGCCUUUGUCCCUCAAUGUGAUGGUGUUACCUGAUGUUGGGUUUCUGCUUUACCAUCCGCUAUCCCGGCUAUACAUCUCUGGGGAGAUGUGGAACCAUGAAGUUAUUUUGCUGUCUACCUCUUUGUAAGUAUAGACUAGGCUAGACAGUUUUGUUAUUUUUGUCUGUGACUGUACUCUCUGUGUAUUUUACCUGGCCCUCAGGUGUGGGUUUUAAGGAACCAAUUUGCUGCUAUGUUUGUGCACUUCUAUUUAAUAAAGCUACUUCUUAUUUA